CAUUACAUGAGAGACUGCAACGAUACCUUAUUCUCCGCCGCCGUUGUAACCGCCAGUAGUUCUUACAGCAUUAUAUUACUAACAUUUAUUAUAUUCAUUCAUUCCUGUUUAUUAAUCGAAUUAUGUAAUGUAUUUAUGCUGAUAAAAAAUUUCUAUAGAAUUUGCCGAGUCGUUGCGAGAUAUGGGUUCUUGUUUGCUCGAGAAAACCGCUUUGAAUGAUCACGAAGAAGAAACAGUAUCACACAAUUUACUUUCCUAUCAUAUUUAUUUUGUCAGCAGACUAAGUGUUAAUAAUCACUAGAAACUCAGACACACAACUGUGAGAGUUAGGGUUCAAACAUUGGUAUCGGUGUUCAACCUAACAAUAUCGGCAUUUUUUUCUUUUAAUUCAGCUAGGAUUUGCAUACUGCUUGCCUAUUACUUUAUCUACUCUUAUUAUUUUCUAUUUCUGCAUGAAAGGUUUUAAUUAUGCUUGGUAAAUUCCAGUUUAAACUUCAGAAACUAAUUGAUAACAAUGUCUCAGCAUCGUAUAUGUUUUCUUCAAAAACUAAACUGUUAUGGCAUUGCAUGUGUUUUUUAUGUUUUGAUAACUUUUUUAAUUUGUUUCUUUUUUCUUCAUUUUUCAAGUAAAAUUUACUUUGUUUGAAAUCAUUUUGCAGAGGGUAGAGCUGAGCAGUGCAUCCAUAGAGUUUCUGAAAGGUGUCUUUAGAUGGUAUGUUUUGUGUUACUUCUCAAGUCUACUUAUUGCAGGUAUGUUCUAGGAAUAUUGUUGAUGUUAAUGAUGUGUUUAUUUUGUUGAUUGUGUUUUGUACAUAAGGAUAACUUAGAGUGUAUGGAAGAAGUUUUGAAGAUAGAUGCAUCCAACUUAAUAGUUUUUGCCGAUGAAGCUGGAAGGAGUUAAUUCAAGAGGGUCAUUUACUUCCUCUCUCUCUGCAAACAAUUGUCACUAAUUGUUUGUGUUAAAUGUUUACUAGCAUUGUUUGAAUUUCAUAUGGCAGUGGAAUUAAACUUGACUACACAACUACAAUUGUGGAAGCAUUCACAUUGUGGAAUCCUUAACAUUUAUUCCUCAUUCUCUGUGUUUUACGUUUGUUGCAUUUUGAUUGCUCAUCUUGUGUAGAUACCUUACUGAUAUAAAUAACAAUUAUAUAUCAGUAACAACCAAGUCGACUUAAACUCACUAUUUUUACGGGUCA